UACAGAGGGGGCAAGCGUUGUUCGGAAUUACUGGGCGUAAAGCGCACGUAGGCGGACUAUUAAGUCAGGGGUGAAAUCCCGGGGCUCAACCCCGGAACUGCCUUUGAUACUGGUAGUCUCGAGUCCGGAAGAGGUGAGUGGAAUUCCGAGUGUAGAGGUGAAAUUCGUAGAUAUUCGCAAGAACACCAGUGGCGAAGGCGGCUCACUGGCCCGAUACUGACGCUGAGGUGCGAAAGCGUGGGGAGCAAACAGG
rnacentral:rRNA from 1 species